CACCUCUAGCAUUACUAGUAUUAGAGGCACUGCCUGCCCAGUGACAUUAGUUAAACGGCCGCGGUAUCCUGACCGUGCAAAGGUAGCAUAAUCAUUUGUUCCUUAAUUAGGGACUUGUAUGAAUGGCACCACGAGGGUUUAACUGUCUCUUACUUUUAAUCAGUGAAAUUGACCUUCCCGUGAAGAGGCGGGAAUACAUAAAUAAGACGAGAAGACCCUAUGGAGCUUAAAUUAGUAUGUUCAAUCAAAAUUCAAAUUUUACCCAACAGGAAUAACAACAUUUUAACUGAGCAACAAAUUUUGGUUGGGGUGACCUCGGAGUACAAAAGAACCCCCGAGCGAUUUAACUAAGACCAACUAGUCAAGGUCAUAUAACAUAUUGAUCCAAUCAUAUUGAUCAACGGAACAAGUUACCCUAGGGAUAACAGCGCAAUCCUAUUUGAGAGUUCAUAUCGACAAUAGGGUUUACGACCUCGAUGUUGGAUCAGGACACCCAAAUGGUGCAACAGCUAUUAAAGGUUCGUUUGUUCAACG
rnacentral:rRNA from 1 species